CCUACGGGUGGCAGCAGUGAGGAAUAUUGGUCAAUGGACGCAACUCUGAACCAGCCAAGUAGCGUGCAGGAUGACGGCCCUAUGGGUUGUAAACUGCUUUUAUGCGGGGAUAAACUGAGUCACGUGUGGCUUAUUGCAUGUACCGCAUGAAUAAGGACCGGCUAAUUCCGUGCCAGCAGCCGCGGUAAUACGGAAGGUCCGGGCGUUAUCCGGAUUUAUUGGGUUUAAAGGGAGCGUAGGUCGCCGGUUAAGCGUGUUGUGAAAUGGCGCGGCUCAACCGUGGCAUUGCAACUCAAACUGGCGGGCUUGAGUGCGGCGGAGGUAGGCGGAAUUCGUGGUGUAGCGGUGAAAUGCUUAGAUAUCACGAAGAACUCCGAUUGCGAAGGCAGGUGUCUGAGGUGCAACUGACGCUGAUGCUCGAAAGUGUGGGUAUCAAACAGGAUUAGAUACCCUAGUAGUC
rnacentral:rRNA from 1 species